AGGGCCAGAGAAGGGCUGGCAGGACGGGGGGCAUCCUGCUGCAACCACACCACUGGCACUGUCACGUGCUUCCUUGACCCAGUGCUCAUGCAGUUGAGAGUCCUUUCUGUGUCUUCAACACCUGUAAGAACCACAUAACCCCAGGGCCUUUGCACAUGCUGGUCCCUCAGUGGGGUGUGUGCUCUCUCAGCUCAUCCCUCGGCUGGCUGCUUCUCAUCCUUCGGUCUGAGCUCGGUGGCCACUUUCUCAGAGAGGCGGCCCUUGCCUGCUCUGGGUGUCCCACCAGCCUGCCCUGCCCUGUUCGUUUUCCUCAGAGCUCUAAUCGCUCUCUGGAAUGCUCUGGUCCCUGUGCUGUUUUAUUCUCUGUGUUAUCUGUAUUCUCUGGCCACCAGGGAGGGCAAGGAUCUGGCCUGCCCAGCCCACAGCUGCACCCGCAGUGCUGGGAUGCAGUAGGUGGUCAAUAAAGCCUGGUUCCCAUCAGUGCUCCUCCCACCCCCGCCCCCCCCCAAGGAUAACAGGGCCUGGGGUGGGGGUGGGUUGUCGGGGUCGGAGCCGUGCAAAGGAAGAGAGCUUGGAAGCGGGUGAGCUGGCUGCCUGUGGCUCUUCCUGCUCCAGUUCAAAGUCGGCCCUGCCCCUGGAACUGCCAUUGCAAGUUUAGAUUGUUCCAGAAUCCCGCUGCUGACUGUUCAAAAGGCUCCCAGCUGCUAUCAGGAAACAGCUCAGGAAGGUCUCCGUUAAACACCAAGAAACUGAGAUGCAAUCAGCCGGGCUGGAAUUCACGAAAAGUGCUAGCUCUGGGGUUUAAGAAAGAAAGAACGAGUUUCAGGGCGAGAGGAGGCAAACCAGCAGCCGAGCCCUGUUCUGCGUCCACCUGUCAGGCGCGGGCAAAUCCGCUUCUCCCGUCCCAGCAUCAGCGGCAGGAAGAGGCGGCCUCCCGCCAGGGCCGCGGCGCGUCCUCGCGUCCUCACGUCCUCGCCGCCGAACCCGGGGAUCCCGCUGCCUGUGGACAAGAACGCUCUGUGACUGAUACUUCUUCCUGCUCGUUGGCAUCGGCCCGGAAUCUUCCAGCCGUGGUCUUCAAGGCCAAACACGAACCAGGAUUUUCCAUUAUGGCUGCAAUUUCGGCUCGUAACUUUAUCGCUCAAACUAAGCCCACUUCAGAAAUGCCAUAAACUAAUUGUCACUGAAUAAACUGAAACUUUUGAGGAGUUUAUGAAAGUGAUUUAAUGAAAAAAAAGAGGGAAAGUAGAAAGCAAAUGUUGCCUACAGAACCGUUGGCAAAAAGGUAAAACCUCGCUGUUUCUUUUGAAAGCGUGCCCCUGACUUGGCCGGGAGCCCCGUCCGCCCCGGCCCCGGUGCCCGGUGUUGGUGAUGCUGUGUAAGAUGCUUGUCUUCUCCGGGGAAGCCGGUUGGGGGCCGCAAGUAAAGGGGGCACAGACCAGAUCAAACCCUCGUCCAGCGGAAUGAAUCCUGGUUCCUUGAUUAAAAAUCCCAAUAACAACCAAGUGAAUGUCGGGGUUAAGUGAAUGCGAGUUAAUUACGAAGCUGUGACCAUUUUCACAGUUUCUGAAGCUAAACACGCCAACGCAAGCUGUCAGUUUACGUUAGGCGAUCACUUGAGCGACUACCGGUUCACCGUUUCACCUCAUUCCUGUUAAGAAACAAUAUACGAAGGGUAUAAAGUGAUCAGCUCUGUUUAUGCUGAGGAGCCGGGUUGUAAUGUCAGCGCACAGGAGCGGGGCAGAGGGAGAGCCUGUUCCUGGCUUCUGCUGAUUGUUUAUGAACGAAAAUCUUUGGAGAAACUUCCAAACACCGACAAUCUGGGAAUGGUCAAGCGGGAGCAAAGCCCAUCAAAGCAUUCCCAGCACGGAACAGGGAGAGAAGCACGUUUCCUCCCCGGUGGGGCUGGUUGGCAAGAGGGGGUCCGUGGGACACACGGGAUUUGGGGUCUGUUGAACUCCUACGAGAAGAAGCCAGCUGGGACCCAUGAGGGCUGACUCCAGCAUUUUCCGUGACUGCCGGGAUGGAGCAGCGUGCAAGCAGUUGUACGAGUCUGAGCUUCCUGUUGGCUGAGGAGAGUGGGGUCGGGACGGGGGUCUGCCUCCCACCGUGGCCGCAGAAGAAACAAGAACCUCCUGCCUGGCACCCCGGGAGUGUCAGGUCUUCUGUGAGAACGAGACGCCAAGGCAUCGGAAACCAGCCUGAAUUCUGUCCCAUGUAUCACGGCAGCAGCCACGAGAGCCCGGAAGAAUGUUUUCUUUAGUUAAGCCUCACUGAAUGGGAGGUGAGGACACACGGCCCAGCCGUCCCUCAGCGGAGGGACGGACAGACGGAAUGUGGCUUGCACGGACAACGGAAUAUUACUCAGCCUUAAAAAGGAAGCAGAUUCUAACACCUGCUCCAACGUGGACGGACCUUGAAGACAGCACGCUGGGGGAGAUUACGAGGCCUCUGCCCUGAUGUUCACCGUUACGUCCUCGAGCUGCACCGAGACCUCUCCUGGCGUUAAAAACGCAUCGGACCUCAGAAACAGUGGCCUGGGUGGUGCGCGGAGGCCAAGAGAGCAGCAGAGCAGAGUUCAAAGGCACGGCUCUCGCCUGCUUCUCCCCUGGAGGCCUGCUCCCGGGGGGCCCCCGGCCUGCAGACCCUUCUGUAUGGGGGUGCGCCCAGGGCUGCCAUCCGCCCCCUCCAAUCUGCACAGCUACACCCUUGAAGGGAGCUUCAAAGCGUGUCUGCCGAUAGAUCAAGCCUUCUCUCAGCCAUGACAGCCCCCCAUUGCUCGCCUCCCCAAAUAAACCCGCGUAAUGAAGACAGAUGGCCCCGGUCAGCCGCCGGCCCCAGGCAAGGCCUGCAGAUGGUGCUGUGGGCGGCCGGAGGCCACACACCCCACCCCGGAGCGGUGCUCUGAGGUGUCACCGGGAUGGAGACUGGCCUCAGCCUGCACUCCCCCCAUCGCCCUGGGGGCAACACCUCGCCACGAUGAGCCUGGUUUUACCUUUGCACACUGCCUUUGAAAAUAGCCACCUUGACGCCCGUGGGCCUGGCCAUCCGUAACGACACAGACCUCUGACUGUGCUCCAGAUACCAGCCCAGGGAUGGCGGCCGGGAACUUCAAAUCACGUGUGCGGCUCGCAUCGUGCUUCUGCUGAACAGCGCUGGGCCCAGUGGACACCCAUUCCAGGAAACGACUCCCCUUCCCCUGAAUCACUUGACCACGCACGUGCGGUUCAGUUCAUGGCUCUCUGCCCCGUUCCACUGGUCCCCACGUCUGCCCGUGAGUCACAGCCAGGCCGUCCCAAUUGCCACGGCUUUAUCAGAAGGCUUGAGAUCGGGUCACGUAAGCCCUCCCACUUUAUCCUUGUUUUCCCAAUGUGUGUUUGCUCUCUUCAGUUCUUUCCAUCUCCGUGGUGGUUCUCACGUCGGCUGGCCAGGGUUGUUUUUGUGUUUGUUUUUUUAAGGCUGUUGAGAUUUUAUUAAGAUGACGUGAAAUCCGUAGAUCAGUUUGGGGAAGGCUGACAUCUUAAAAACGGUGAGUCUUCUGGGCCGUAACGUGGGGUAGCACGCCGUUUCCUUAGGUCUUUGUUGCUGUUCAUCAGCAAACCGCCCAUCAGCAUUACGGUUUCACUUGCCCCGAAAUAGGUGAUGGUUUUGAUACAAUUUUACACGGUGCUUUUAGGUUUUUAUUUUCCAGCUAUCGAUUAUAGAAAACGUGACCCAAUUUUGUCGUAAAGCGAUCUAGUAUUUGCUGUCUUGCUACAUUCACUCACUGCUUCCAGGAGUUUUUUGGCGACCUCCUUAGAAACUUCUACGUUUACAGUCGUAACCACAUGUUCUUCCUUCUUUCCGGCGGCUCCCUCCUCGUGAUGCCUCCCCGCACCGGCCGUGCCCUCGGGGGGCAGACUGCGGUGUGCAAGGGGUGGCGGGCACCCCUGUCUCGGCCCCUGUCAGGGACACAGUCAGCCUGUGCUGUUGGUUGGUUUUUAUUGUUGUCGCUAAUGUUUAUUUCAUUCUGAGAGAGAGCGAGCGCGCUUGCGCGAGCAGGGGAGGGGCAGAGGGAGAGGGAGACGCAGAAUCCGAGGCAGGCUCCGGGCUCCGAGCCGUCAGCACAGAGCCCGACGCAGGGCCUGAACCCACGGACCGCGAGAUCGUGACCUGAGCCCGAGUCGGACGCCUCAAGGACGGAGCCCCCAGGCGCCCCAGCCUCUGCUGUGAAGUGAACCACAAGCUGCAGGCAUCCAUUGAUCCGUGAGCCUUUCUCCGGUUCAGAAAGUUUUCCUCCUUCCCAAAGCGAGAGUUUUCAUCGUGAGCUGUUGUCAAAUUCUUGAAACGUGUUUUCCGGCCGUACCAAGAUGGCCUUCUGGUGUUUUCCGCUUCACUCCGUUAACGAGGGUAUUCUCGUGUGCCGGACCAGCCCCGCUCGCCUGGGGUAACCACUGGACCCUAGCGCCCCGUGUGCUGGGCUCUCCGCGUGACGGAGGGAGGCUGGGCUCCGCCCUGACCCACUCACCUUAGAGCCCGGCCGCCCCAGGCACCAGCAAAGGGCAGGGCUCCCAAGCUCUGUUCUCUCCAGGUUCUCGGCAGGGAACGUCCCCAGCACAGCUAGAGGCUCCUGGAUGCUGCGAGCCACAUCCAACAACAGCAUCCACGUGUCCUCGGCAGCCCUGCAGGGAAAGGUGCCCACGUAAGGCCGUGACCGUGGCGGUCUGUCAGCACGGCUUGACCGCAGGAGCUUCAGACCCCGCCUGUCAUCAGGUUCGCUUAAUCCCCAGAAAACGGUCUAAUCCAUAGCGUCCCCCGCAGGAUCGAGGACAGAAAGUGUGAUUUAUUGCUGCUGAAGUGCGUCCUUUCAUAUUUCCAAACUGCCUUAGGGAGCAAUUUCUCACAAUGUCAGCAGCUGGCUGCGGAGAAGAGGGAAGGGGCAGAGCCAGGGGCGGGAGAGGGGCCGCACAUGCUCCCUCGUCCCUGGGAACCCGGGACCCCACACCCGGGACGCUGCUGACCACCUCGGGCGGGGAAGAUGCCUGGCCCCGCGUCCUCGGGAGGGGGCUCCUAGGGCCCUGGCCCCGCGUCCUCGGGAGGGGGCUCCUAGGGCCCUAGCGUGACCGGCUUCCUGGGCCUGCAGGAGGAGCCCGGGUCCUCCCCACUUCCUGCCCGCCUGCGCCCAGCUGCCUGAUUUUAUUAGAGCCAGUUGUCUGUGAGUUUCCUAGAAACAAAAGGGGCUGAUCUCAUCCGCCUCGCCCAGAGAGAUGAAAUGCUAGCACAAAGGCCUUCGCCUCGGGCCCAGGGCGUCUCCAGGACCACCUCCCUGAGUCCUCACGACCCCCCGGGAGGCCACUUGUACCACGACGGCCCCUGCCCAGGAGGGGAAACUGAGGCACGGCUGGAGUGGGGCCAGCACUCCUCAGGCACUAGGGUGGGGCUACAGCAGGAAGCCCCAGGCCUGCCCCUCGUGACCUGGGUUCCCAGCAGCCACCAUUGCCUUCCCGGCACAGCUGAGGACAGGGGCUGGCGAGGUCGGGGCCCCGAGCUGCCAGGGGCACGGGACUGAGGCUGCUCAUCUGAGGACCCGCGCUCACAAGUGACCGUGGCCCCGUGACCUCCCGGGGGGGGGGGGGGCACCGACACCACCCCCAGAGCGGCACCGAGAAGCCACACCGGU